rfam:Triticum aestivum genome assembly, contig: Triticum_aestivum_CS42_TGACv1_scaffold_528551_6DL
AUUGUACUUCCUUUGUCCGGAAAUAUUUAUCGUCAAAAUGGAUAUAAAUGGAUGUAUCUAGAAUUAAAAUACAUCUAGAUACAUCCAUUCUUCGAACAAAUAUUUUCGGACAGAGGGAAUACAAG